GGUAUUGAUUCCUGCAGAUCUCAGAUCAUCAUGCGCUCUUCCAGAGGCUAAGUCACUUUGAGGACCUUGUAUAAGCCUUGCUGAAGAGGAAAGGGUAGAGAAAAAAAAAAUCUGCUUCCAUCAAGAUUGUGCUCUUUAAUGAAGAUAAGAGGAAAGCUUAUUUAGCGGGACAUUGGUUUUGAUUUGAAAUUGGGCAAGGAGCUUCUGUAUUCCCUGUUUCAGAGAUGGAAAGCCUAUUGUGGAAAACCAUAUGUAUCAUAAUAUGGCUCCCCUGUUGAUGCAAAAGUGCAGCUAAUGGCAGUGCUUUCUUGCACUAUACCUGUGCAACAGAAGGAACACAGAAAAGGAUACAAAGGAUUAUAAGAUAUUGAGGAAAAUACUAGUAAAGCUUUGUUUUAGUGAAUGAGAGAAGGAGUGUGCUGCAGUGGAGUUGUAAGGAGCAGAAUGAGUGGAAAGGAGGUGGUGCACAUCAUAAAAGCAGUUUUCUCCAUGCUGUGACCUACUCAGCAAGUUGCUGGGAAUCCUGGAGAGCAUGGAAUUGGAUGAGGAAGAACAAACCUUGGUGGAAUGAUAAUCAACUGAACUCUCCCACUUCAAUUACUCUUUGCUUUUUUAAUUUGUUUAAGAUUGAUCUGGCAGAAGAUUAGGAAUGAAACGUAAUAAGAAUUAAAAAUGGGAUUUGCCUGUUACAUGUGUUACAUUUAAAUCCAUUGUAUGUCAGUUACUA